rnacentral:rRNA from 1 species
GACGAACGCUGGCGGCGUGCUUAACACAUGCAAGUCGAACGGAAGGGCCCUGAUUUUGUGGGUUGGUUGAGUGGCGAAGGGGUGGGUAACACGUGAGUAACCUGCACUUGUCUUUGGGAUAACUUCAGGAGAAUGGGGCUAAUACCGGAUAGAAGCUUCUGCUGCAUGGUGGGGGUUGGAAAGUUUCGGCGGUUUGGGCUGGUAUCGGAGCUUAUCAGCUUGUUGGGGGGGGAGUUGCUUACCAAGGCUUUGACGGAUCGGCGGCCUGAGAGGGUUACCGGCCACAUUGGGACUGAGAUACGGACCAGACUGCUACGGGCGGCAGCAGUGGAGAAGAUUGCACAAUGGGCGGAAGCCAGAGGCAGCAGCGCCGCGAGCGGAAAAACGUCCUACGGGUGGUAAACCGCUGUCUCCUGUGACGAAGCGUGAGUGACGGUAAUUAGUAAAGAAGCACCGGCUAACUACGUG